rnacentral:rRNA from 1 species
AUUGAACGCUGGCGGUAUGCUUAACACAUGCAAGUCGAACGGUAACAGGAACUAGCUUGCUAGUUUGCUGACGAGUGGCGGACGGGUGAGUAAUGCGUAGGAAUCUGCCUUGCAGCGGGGGAUAGCCCGAGGAAACUCGGAUUAAUACCGCAUACGCUCUACGGAGGAAAGUGGGCCUCUUCUUGAAAGCUCACACUGCAAGAUGAGCCUACGUCCGAUUAGCUAGUUGGUGGGGUAAUGGCCUACCAAGGCGACGAUCGGUAGCUGGUCUGAGAGGAUGAUCAGCCACACUGGGACUGAGACACGGCCCAG